AAUGAAGUUUUAGUGACUGAGUGGCGAACGGGUGAGUAACACGUCAGCAACCUGCCUUUCAGUGGGGGACAACAUUUGGAAACGAAUGCUAAUACCGCAUAAGACCACAGUGUCGCAUGGCACAGGGGUCAAAGGAUUUAUCCGCUGAAAGAUGGGCUCGCGUCCGAUUAGCUAGAUGGUGAGGUAACGGCCCACCAUGGCGACGAUCGGUAGCCGGACUGAGAGGUUGAACGGCCACAUUGGGACUGAGACACGGCCCAGACUCC
rnacentral:rRNA from 1 species